GGUUAAGCGACUAAGCGUACACGGUGGAUGCCCUGGCAGUCAGAGGCGAUGAAGGACGUGCUAAUCUGCGAAAAGCGCCGGCGAGGUGAUAUGAACCCUUGACCCGGCGAUGUCCGAAUGGGGAAACCCAGUGCAAUCCGUUGCACUAUCGUUAACUGAAUACAUAGGUUAACGAGGCGAACCGGGGGAACUGAAACAUCUAAGUACCCCGAGGAAAAGAAAUCAACCGAGAUUCCCCCAGUAGCGGCGAGCGAACGGGGAGCAGCCCGGAGUCUGAAUCAGCUUGUGUGUUAGUGGAACGGUCUGGAAAGUCCGACGGUACAGGGUGAUAGUCCCGUACACGAAAGCACACAUGCUGUGAACUCGAAGAGUAGGGCGGGACACGUGGUAUCCUGUCUGAAUAUGGGGGGACCAUCCUCCAAGGCUAAAUACUCCUGACUGACCGAUAGUGAACCAGUACCGUGAGGGAAAGGCGAAAAGAACCCCGGCGAGGGGAGUGAAAAAGAACCUGAAACCGUGUACGUACAAGCAGUGGGAGCCUCUUUAUGGGGUGACUGCGUACCUUUUGUAUAAUGGGUCAGCGACUUAUAUUCUGUAGCAAGGUUAACCGUAUAGGGGAGCCGAAGGGAAACCGAGUCUUAACUGGGCGUUAAGUUGCAGGGUAUAGACCCGAAACCCGGUGAUCUAGCCAUGGGCAGGUUGAAGGUUGGGUAACACUAACUGGAGGACCGAACCGACUAAUGUUGAAAAAUUAGCGGAUGACCUGUGGCUGGGGGUGAAAGGCCAAUCAAACCGGGAGAUAGCUGGUUCUCCCCGAAAGCUAUUUAGGUAGCGCCUCGUGAACUCAUCUUCGGGGGUAGAGCACUGUUUCGGCUAGGGGGCCAUCCCGGCUUACCAACCCGAUGCAAACUACGAAUACCGAAGAAUGUUAUCACGGGAGACACACGGCGGGUGCUAACGUCCGUCGUGAAGAGGGAAACAACCCAGACCGCCAGCUAAGGUCCCAAAGUCAUGGUUAAGUGGGAAACGAUGUGGGAAGGCACAGACAGCCAGGAUGUUGGCUUAGAAGCAGCCAUCAUUUAAAGAAAGCGUAAUAGCUCACUGGUCGAGUCGGCCUGCGCGGAAGAUGUAACGGGGCUAAACCAUGCACCGAAGCUGCGGCAGCGACACUAUGUGUUGUUGGGUAGGGGAGCGUUCUGUAAGCCGUUGAAGGUGGCCUGUGAGGGUUGCUGGAGGUAUCAGAAGUGCGAAUGCUGACAUAAGUAACGAUAAAGCGGGUGAAAAGCCCGCUCGCCGGAAGACCAAGGGUUCCUGUCCAACGUUAAUCGGGGCAGGGUGAGUCGACCCCUAAGGCGAGGCCGAAAGGCGUAGUCGAUGGGAAACAGGUUAAUAUUCCUGUACUUGGUGUUACUGCGAAGGGGGGACGGAGAAGGCUAUGUCAGCCGGGCGACGGUUGUCCCGGUUUAAGCAUGUAGGCGGAGGUUCCAGGUAAAUCCGGUACCUUAUUAACGCUGAGGUGUGAUGACGAGGCACUACGGUGCUGAAGUGAUAAAUGCCCUGCUUCCAGGAAAAGCCUCUAAGCAUCAGGUAACACGAAAUCGUACCCCAAACCGACACAGGUGGUCAGGUAGAGAAUACCAAGGCGCUUGAGAGAACUCGGGUGAAGGAACUAGGCAAAAUGGUGCCGUAACUUCGGGAGAAGGCACGCUGAUGUGUAGGUGAAGCCCCUGCGGGCGGAGCUGAAAUCAGUCGAAGAUACCAGCUGGCUGCAACUGUUUAUUAAAAACACAGCACUGUGCAAACACGAAAGUGGACGUAUACGGUGUGACGCCUGCCCGGUGCCGGAAGGUUAAUUGAUGGGGUUAGCGGCAACGCGAAGCUCUUGAUCGAAGCCCCGGUAAACGGCGGCCGUAACUAUAACGGUCCUAAGGUAGCGAAAUUCCUUGUCGGGUAAGUUCCGACCUGCACGAAUGGCGUAAUGAUGGCCAGGCUGUCUCCACCCGAGACUCAGUGAAAUUGAACUCGCUGUGAAGAUGCAGUGUACCCGCGGCAAGACGGAAAGACCCCGUGAACCUUUACUAUAGCUUGACACUGAACACUGGUCCUUGAUGUGUAGGAUAGGUGGGAGGCUUUGAAGCGUGGACGCCAGUCUGCGUGGAGCCAACCUUGAAAUACCACCCUUUAAUGGCUGGUGUUCUAACGUAGACCCGUAAUCCGGGUUGCGGACAGUGUCUGGUGGGUAGUUUGACUGGGGCGGUCUCCUCCCAAAGAGUAACGGAGGAGCACGAAGGUUGGCUAAUCCUGGUCGGACAUCAGGAGGUUAGUGCAAUGGCAUAAGCCAGCUUGACUGCGAGCGUGACGGCGCGAGCAGGUGCGAAAGCAGGUCAUAGUGAUCCGGUGGUUCUGAAUGGAAGGGCCAUCGCUCAACGGAUAAAAGGUACUCCGGGGAUAACAGGCUGAUACCGCCCAAGAGUUCAUAUCGACGGCGGUGUUUGGCACCUCGAUGUCGGCUCAUCACAUCCUGGGGCUGAAGUAGGUCCCAAGGGUAUGGCUGUUCGCCAUUUAAAGUGGUACGCGAGCUGGGUUUAGAACGUCGUGAGACAGUUCGGUCCCUAUCUGCCGUGGGCGCUGGAGAAUUGAGGGGGGCUGCUCCUAGUACGAGAGGACCGGAGUGGACGCAUCACUGGUGUUCGGGUUGUCAUGCCAAUGGCACUGCCCGGUAGCUAAAUGCGGAAGAGAUAAGUGCUGAAAGCAUCUAAGCACGAAACUUGCCCCGAGAUGAGUUCUCCCUGAGACCUUGAGUCUCCUGAAGGAACGUUGAAGACGACGACGUUGAUAGGUCGGGUGUGUAAGCGCAGCGAUGCGUUGAGCUAACCGAUACUAAUGAACCGUGAGGCUUAACCUU
rnacentral:rRNA from 2 species